rnacentral:tRNA from 1 species
UGCCGGUGUAGCUCAGCUGGUUAGAGCACGCGGCUCAUACCCGCGAUGUCACUGGUUCGAAUCCAGUCACCGGUACCAG